CAGCGGGUGCAUCAUCAGCAGGUUCUUCUGGUAGUGGGUUGUCUAGAACAUCUUCCUUUUUCUCAGCCCUGAGAACAAUUCUCAGGUUACGAAUCCAAUCCGAGUAAUUUGUUCCAUUCAACUUGUCCUUCUCAAGGACCGAACGCAAAGCAAACGGUGUAGUGCUGCUAGGUGCCAUUUAAUCUACAACAAAGUAAUGCAAAAUACACUAAGACAAACGUAUCCAUGAUAGAGCAAAUCACAUUAAACUAUUUUAACAGAAUCUACUCCCACUAAAAUCAAUAUCCCUCUAUUGAAACUUAGUGAUUCAGG
rnacentral:lncRNA from 1 species